rnacentral:rRNA from 1 species
UACGGGGGGGGCAAGCGUUGUUCGGAAUUACUGGGCGUAAAGGGCGUGUAGGCGGCCAACUAAGUCCGACGUGAAAUCCCCAGGCUUAACCUGGGAACUGCGUCGGAUACUGGAUGGCUUGAAUCCGGGAGAGGGAUGCAGAAUUCCAGGUGUAGCGGUGAAAUGCGCAGAUAUCAGGAGGAACACCGGUGGCGAAGGCGGAUCUCUGGGCCUGUUCUGACGCUGAGGCGCGAAAGCUAGGGGGAGCGAACAGG